UACGUAGGGGGCUAGCGUUGUCCGGAUUUAUUGGGCGUAAAGAGCGUGUAGGCGGCCAGAUAGGUCUGCUGUGAAAACUCGAGGCUCAACCUCGAGACGCCGGUGGAAACUGCAAAGCUAGAGUCCGGAAGAGGAGAGUGGAAUUCCUGGUGUAGCGGGGAAAUGCGCAGAUAUCAGGAAGAACACCCGUGGCGAAGGCGG
rnacentral:rRNA from 1 species